rnacentral:lncRNA from 1 species
AAAACACCUAAGUAAAACCUUUCUUUAAAGGACACAUGAACAAAUUGAACCAGUCAGAGGGGAAAGAUCAGGAUGAUGAAGUGACUCAGAAAUCAGAUUCCAUUAUGACAUUAGUCUCUGGUCACAAUUAUCAGAAGCCUUGCCAGAUGCACCAUUCCACUUCAUCCUGUCUUCAUCACGAGGAGAAAAUCAGUGGUUCCUCUGCCUUUUGCCUCCUUCCAGUGGAUUGCAUAUCCAGAUAAUGUUGAACUUGGGAGCCUUCAUGCUUUGAUCAGUAAAAUCUUGAAUGAAUGGAAGUUGACAUAAGCUAAAGGAAUCAUCUUACACCACGACAAAAUGGAGUAAGACUGGAUCCCCAAAUCUCCAAUGUAACAAGCCUGAAACACUUUUGUGUAGAAUGCUCAGACUAUUAGUUGAGAGAAAAAUAAAACUCCAUUUUGUUCAA